GUCUCUGUGGCGCAAUCGGUUAGCGCGUUCGGCUGUUAACCGAAAGGCUGGUGGUUCGAGCCCGCCCAGGGACG
rnacentral:tRNA from 1 species